rnacentral:misc_RNA from 1 species
GAUGAAGAACGCAGCGAAAUGCGAUAAGUAGUGUGAAUUGCAGAAUUCAGUGAAUCAUCGAAUCUUUGAACGCACAUUGCGCCCCUUGGUAUUCCAUGGGGCAUGCCUGUACGAGCGUCAUUUGUACCUUCAAGCUUUGCUUGGUGUUGGGUGUUUGUCCCGAGGGACUCGCCUUAAAGUAAUUGGCAGCCAGUGUUUGGUUUUGAAGCGCAGCACAAGUCGCGAUUCAAGGCUACACGCCCGCUUCCACAAGCCUUUUUUCACUUUUGACCUCGGAUCAGGUAGGGAUACCCGCUGAACUUAAGCAUAUCAAUAAGCGGAGGA